AUUGGACAAGCAAGCUUCUGAUCGGCAGCAAAUACCAGAAAUUAGAAAUUUUGCCGACAGUGAAGACACGGUGGUUAUGACGAGGACGGCGGCCAGAGAGAAGUUUAGGUCCCUUUAAUUCUGCGCGAUUCCGAAAUUUUGAAACAGAUGGAUGAAUUAGAGAGGCAAUCGAUGAAGCUGCAAAGGCAAAGACUCACCGAGAUCGGAGAUUGGAACUGCUUAGUGGCCAGAAUGGAAAAGUGAUUAUUUUUAAGAAUUUUUUUGAUGGGAAUUGCCCAAUUCUUUAAGGAGAAAGAACAAAUUGGGUCUUUAUUGAGAAUUGCUUUGUCAAGAAGGAUGUAAGGAUUAAGAAAAAUACCCUUUUGUCGGAGGGUUCUUGUGCUGCUGGGGCCUUUCGUCGGAUUCACUCGGCGGGAAAGAAAGAGGCAUAGCUGGACUCGUAGACUCGACCAUGACUUUGGGCCCUCUUUCUGUUCUCCGCGGCGGAGGCAGUAACGGCGCCGAUCUCCUCCUUUGGGUGCCCCACCGCAAACGGGCCUCUAUGAGAAUCAGAAGAUCCAGCAAUAUAUUGGCGACCACUUCUUCAUCGGAGGAAGCAGAGAGAGUGGGAAUUGCGGCGGCGGCGGCAGUUUUGAUCAUAACUUUCUUCUUAAAGUUUACGGAUUUUAAGACAAUCUUCAUGAAUGCAAUAUCAACGAAAGAGGGCUCAAGAAGAUUGAUGCGGCAAUCAACCACUUUUAAAUGGAAUUUUGGACACGAUUAGAGGAUUUUAUAAUUUUAAUUUCUUAAGAAUUAUUUUCCAAUUGAGCCUAAUUUGGCUCAAUUGAUGACGACCACUUUUUCUAUUUUCAGUGGUAGUCUCUUUAGAUUAGUAUUCAGUAUUCCUUUUCAACCAAUUUUUAUGUUUUUUUGGUUCAAGUAAACUAUUAUUUGAGGUGAUUAGGGUUUUGAAUCAUAAUAUUGGUAUCGAUUUGUUUGAUCCAUUAUGAUCAGUUCAAAGCUAA